rnacentral:rRNA from 1 species
AGAGUUUGAUCAUGGCUCAGAACGAACGUUGGCGGCGUGGAUCAGGCAUGCAAGUCGCACGAAUCCCGGUAGCAAUACUGGGGGAAGUGGCGAAAGGGGCAGUAAAGCGUGGGUAACCUACCCUGGGGACCGACAUAGCCUUCCUAACGGAAGGGUAAUAUCGGGCAACGUGACGGGCCGGCAUCGGCCUGUCACCAGACGGUCCUCCGCCCUGGGAGGGGCUCACGUGCUAUCAGCUAGUUGGUGAGGUAACGGCCCACCAAGGCUUAGACGGCUAGCGGGUGUGAGAGCACGACCCGCGCCACUGGCACUGAGACACUGGCCAGACUCCGGCGGGAGGCGGCAGUCGAGGAUCUUCGGCAAUGGGCGCAAGCCUGACCGAGCGACGCCGCGUGCGCGACGAAGGCCUUCGGGUUGUAAAGCGCGAAAGUACCGAGGAAGGGCAACUUGACCGAGGUACAGUAAGCACGGGCUAAGUUCGUGCCAGCCGCCGCGGUAAUAC